ACGCUCGACACCUACAGGAGGCAGCAGUGAGGAAUAUUGGUCAAUGGGCGCAGGCCUGAACCAGCCAAGUAGCGUGAAGGAUGACUGCCCUAUGGGUUGUAAACUUCUUUUAUAUGGGAAUAAAGUUUUCCACGUGUGGAAUUUUGUAUGUACCAUAUGAAUAAGGAUCGGCUAACUCCGUGACAGCAGCCGCGGUAAUCUGAGCGGGCUGGCAAGGC
rnacentral:rRNA from 1 species